AUAUGUGCUGAACUGUUGAGCCCUUCAUGAACCGAAGUACCAUAACAAAUCUAUGCGAAUCUGCAAGUUUUUUCUUUAUGCACGUACUGUGAAAAUUAAGGAAGAAAAACUGGUGCGAGUGGGAACAAAAGGGCCGCACGUCCAAGUGAAGCCGCACAACAGUGCCUUACCGCCCCUAUAAAACCUCUGUUUGUUGGGCUUUGUGUCCAUCAACCACCACUCUCUUCCAAUACAGGUUAGCCUCCACCACCACCAUCAUCAUUCUCACUAGCACAACAGUGCCUCACCGCCGCUAUAAAACCUCUGUUUGUUGGGCUUUGUGUCCAUCAGCCACCACUCUCUCUUCCAAUACAGAGGAGAUUCAUACCGAAAACUGCCCCACGCCGGGUUCCGAAACCUGAAGUCAAAAUGUAUGCCUCACUUAUGGUUAAAAGUUAAAACUCGAAAGCAAUGCCUCUAUGCCCUUUGUUGGUUUAAUUUGAUAUUUAACUUGUGUUGUUCUUAAUCUCUUGAUCUUCGAUGAAGCGGACCAUGUGACUGAGGAGUCUGAUGCUGAAAAGGCUAGGGAUUGGCUGAAGCGCUUCAGUGUAUGGAACUGUGUUUUGGAUUGAUAUCAAUGUGUUGAGUGUUGAGAAUGAAUCCUCAACUUCUUCACUGAGCAAAUGUACUGAAUUUCGGUUUUAUCACAAUAUCUCAUGUUAUGUUUUGUUUUGUUUUUUGUUGUUGGAUGCUCUCAUCUUAUAGGAAAGAUCUUUACACGCAAGGCCGAAAGUUGAAACGAAGUGUAGGCUCUUCUAACUCUGCGUUGCGACUCUUGAAUCCGGAUUUAAGUAGGCCUUAUAUCAUUGUUUACUUUAUUUUGUCAGUCGGACUCCUGCAAUUUACUCAGUUCAAUGGAGUUAACCAACUUCAAUAAUCAGUAGUCCAAUUGCGAUAAUGCUAUAAAUUUUUAUACUUUUGAUGUUUUGUUGGAUUUGGUUGAGUUUGGCUUAAGUAGAGGGAAGUUGCACGUCAUGAUAUGCAUUUUCUGAAGAAGAUAAUAUUGCCUACAAUUUUGGGGGAUUAGAAUUGUUUUUCAUUUGUUAUUAAAUUUGCAGUGGCGCCUACACAAACUGCACUUGGUGGUGCUGCAUCCACAAUUCCAAAUCCAUGAAAGUGUAUGGUGCUCCUAAAGGCAGGAAUACUGAUGCUGCUGCCUCGGGCAUGAAGGUGGAGAAAGAAUACAGUUGGCCAUAGAAUCAGUACAGUUAUUAACCUGUAACUCUUUCUCUCAGACUGCCUUAUUCUGGAGAUCCUGGUAAGCUGUAGAAUGAUUUCUUAAAAGGAAAUACUACGUCGCACGAGGAAAGCAUUAGGAUUAUCAUUUUUGCAGCAACUUGACACAUUUUAGCUGUUAAAGGUUGUCUAGGCAUUGCUUUUUACGUUAAAGGAUCCACAUUUAAGCGGUGGAUGACUACUUGGCUCGAGUCAUUUCAUUUUUGCAUUCCAUCUGAUCAGAUCGGUUUCAUCUGCUGUCAAGGUUUACCUUGACUUGUGUUUCAAUAAAUGCACCUAAUGUUCAGAUGAGUCAACUUAUGAUGAAAAUUCAAACAGUCCAUGCUUGUAUCCUUUUAUUUAAUUUGAGAGUUUGUUGACAGGAUGAAAAUAAAGCAACAAGUAUGUUCUUUCUUCAGUCACCGCAAUAUCUGCCUACGAUAAAACAAUCAACUAAAGCAGAUGGCCCUGAGGCAACAAAAAGCUCAGGGCGACCUGGAAGCGCACACAAGAUGCAAAGUUUUGUGCUUUGUCUGGUUACCACCUGGCCACAUGGGUAAGAUGCUGGUGUACAGAAGUGGUGCUAUCAAGCCGAAGCUAGGAGAUAGCCUUUUCGAUGUCUGCUCAGGAAUGAAGUGUGGUUUUGCCCAGGAUGUUGUGGUUACUAAUGAGAACGAGAAGGGAUUUGGUAUUAUCAGCGAGCUGAAUAAGUGAGCCAUUGCAACCCCAGAUAUUGACUCCGUUUUGGAAAGUAUAGAUGGUUUAUUGUAGUUUGUUUUUUUGCCCAUUUACAAUACAGUUUUUGUUUGUGAGAGUGAAAAACUGCGGCACUUUCUUCCUUCGACAUUAUCCAAGAAAACAAGUUCCAAUAGGUAAGACUAAACACCUUGAUAAUGUGCAGAAGAGUGGAUUGUUUCAAGUGAACGUAUUGCAACUAACCCUUUUUGUUCUGAUGGCAUUGAAAUAAAGUCCAUAUUCUUUA